GUUGGAGUGAUGAUUUUAGCUUACCGCCCCAGUCUGAUGUACUCUGACUGAUCGGUACCUCUCUGAUUUACA